rnacentral:rRNA from 1 species
UUUUAUGGAGAGUUUGAUCCUGGCUCAGGAUGAACGCUGGCGGCGUGCCUAAUACAUGCAAGUCGAGCGAACGGACGAGAAGCUUGCUUCUCUGAUGUUAGCGGCGGACGGGUGAGUAACACGUGGAUAACCUACCUAUAAGACUGGGAUAACUUCGGGAAACCGGAGCUAAUACCGGAUAAUAUUUUGAACCGCAUGGUUCAAAAGUAAAAGACGGUCUUGCUGUCACUUAUAGAUGGAUCCGCGCUGCAUUAGCUAGUUGGUAAGGUAACGGCUUACCAAGGCAACGAUGCAUAGCCGACCUGAGAGGGUGAUCGGCCACACUGGAACUGAGACACGGUCCAGACUCCUACGGGAGGCAGCAGUAGGGAAUCUUCCGCAAUGGGCGAAAGCCUGACGGAGCAACGCCGCGUGAGUGAUGAAGGUCUUCGGAUCGUAAAACUCUGUUA